UACGGAGGGAGCUAGCGUUGUUCGGAAUUACUGGGCGUAAAGCGCACGUAGGCGGCUUUUUAAGUCAGGGGUGAAAUCCCGGAGGCUCAACCUCGGAACUGCCUUUGGAUACUGGAGAUCUUGGAGUCCGGAAGAGGUAAGUGGAACUGCGAGUGUAGAGGUGAAAUUCGUAGAUAUUCGCAAGAACACCAGUGGCGAAGGCGGCUUACUGGUCCGGAACUGACGCUGAGGGUGCGAAA
rnacentral:rRNA from 1 species